rnacentral:rRNA from 1 species
AACGAACGCUGGCGGCAUGCCUAACACAUGCAAGUCGAACGAGACCUUCGGGUCUAGUGGCGCACGGGUGCGUAACGCGUGGGAACCUGCCCUUAGGUUCGGAAUAACUCAGAGAAAUUUGAGCUAAUACCGGAUAAUGUCUUCGGACCAAAGAUUUAUCGCCCUUGGAUGGGCCCGCGUAGGAUUAGCUUGUUGGUGGGGUAAUGGCCUACCAAGGCGACGAUCCUUAGCUGGUCUGAGAGGAUGAUCAGCCACACUGGGACUGAGACACGGCCCAGACUCCUACGGGAGGCAGCAGUGGGGAAUAUUGGACAAUGGGCGAAAGCCUGAUCCAGCAAUGCCGCGUGAGUGAUGAAGGCCUUAGGGUUGUAAAGCUCUUUUACCAGGGAUGAUAAUGACAGUACCUGGAGAAUAAGCUCCGGCUAACUCCGU